GCGCGUCCGAGCCGAGCGCCUGCGCGAGCCCGACGCACGCCGGAGGAGCCGGGGACCCGGGAGCCCGAGCGAGCGGCCGAGUCGGGGGACACAGCGCCGGCCCUGCGCCGCCGCGGCCAGCCCGGCAUGGAGGAGUGCCGGGUGCUCUCCAUCCAGAGCCACGUCGUCCGAGGCUACGUGGGCAACCGGGCGGCCACGUUCCCGCUGCAGGUUUUGGGAUUUGAGAUCGAUGCAGUGAACUCUGUCCAGUUUUCAAACCACACAGGCUAUGCCCACUGGAAGGGUCAUGUGCUGAAUUCCCAGGAGCUCCAUGAGCUGUACGAAGGGCUGACGCUGAACAGCGUGAAUAAGUAUGACUACGUGCUCACAGGUUACACAAGGGACAAGUCCUUCCUGGCCACAGUGGUGGACAUUGUGCAGGAGCUGAAGCAGCAGAACUCCAAGCUGGUGUAUGUGUGUGAUCCUGUGAUGGGCGACAAGUGGAAUGGUGAAGGCAAAAUGUACGUUCCAGAGGACCUCCUUCCAGUGUACAGGGACAAAGUGGUGCCGUUGGCAGACAUCAUAACUCCCAACCAGUUUGAGGCCGAGUUACUGACUGGCAGAAAGAUCCACAGCCAGGAAGAAGCAUUAAUGGUGAUGGAUGUGCUGCACUCCAUGGGCCCCCACACAGUGGUCAUCACCAGCUCCGAUCUGCCUGCCCCACGGGGCAGUGACUACCUGAUUUCUCUGGGCAGCCAGAGGAUACGGAGGCCAGAUGGCUCCAUGGUGACCCAGCGCAUCCGGAUGGAGAUGCUCAAGGUGGACGCGGUCUUCGUGGGCACUGGGGACCUCUUUGCCGCCAUGCUUCUGGCGUGGACACACAAGCACCCCAACAAUCUCAAGGGGGCCCUGGGGCCGAUGAGGAGAGGCUGUGACUUGAGCCAUGGAAGCAACAGGGCCUCACGCGUGGACCGCUUGAGCCUCGUGUCUGUGCGGAGGAGCACAGGAUUUAUGUGGAAAUAAUUUGAAGCCUGGGCUGUGGCUCAGAGUUGGAGCACUCCCCUGGCACUUGUGAGGGCCGGGUCUAUCCUCAGCACCACAAAAAAUAAAAAAAAAUUAGCUUCUGGGAAAAAGUGUCCCGCUGUGAACACAGGGUUCCUUGUCAGCACUGCUGAGGGCCAGGCUCCCUGGGACUGCCAUGUGGACAGUGGCGAUCUCACCACCGGAGUGGGUCCUCCCAUCCAAGAAGGCUGUUGUGGCACUGGUAGUGGUUAUUGGUAGGACUUGGGUUCAAAUUAGAACCAACUUUGUUUCUACUUUCCAUAGUUCAGUAACAUACAAAAUAAUAGCUAACAAUUUCUGUUGAAAUGGGAGCUUUGUUAGUUUAUUUUUAAGGGAGCUGUGUUUUAAUACUUUGUUAAGGCUGUUCCAAACACCCAGAGACUGUAAGAAGGAAUUAUAAAAUACCCUUUUUAAAUCAAUUUUAAAUCAUUGCCUAGUCCUGCCAAGGUAAUUGUGUGCCUCUUAUUUUUGCAAUAGAUGUCAGUGAUUGUAAAAAUGGUGUUCUGUUUUGUGUCCUGUUCUUAAACUUGUUCGAGCCAGUUUUUAACGUGUUGUUUGAUUUUAUCAUGGACGGGGCUGGGCUUGGCUGAACUGAACUGAUGAACACCGACAGUGUUUUAGAGCAGGGGCAUUGCCUGCCCGGGACGGGCUGGGCUGGGCUGCCCAAGUUCCUGAUGUAACAUCCACCAGCAUCACCUACAAUGAGAAAAUAAGCAGUGUGUGCUAGAGCUCAGGCCCUGCAGAGAGGUACAGGCUGAGCGAGGCCCUGGGGAGGAGGCACGUUGGUCACGACAGCAAGCAGGGGCCCUUGGUCACACUCCUGACCCUGACAUCCAUCUCUUAUUUCUUGGUGCCACACAUUCUUUGGUUGAAAGUAUAGAAAAAAAGAGGUGAGGGUGUUUUGGCCCAAAGAUAAAGCCCUUGCCUUGCCUUUGACAGGACAACUGCUUUGGGACAUCAGUGUCCAUAUUUAUGCUGCUCAGAGGCACCCUAUGACCAUGAGGCUGAACUGUACCUGUGGCCUGAGGAUCAAGAAGCCCUCCUCCCUCCUGCUGCCCAGCUGCUCUCAUGGCCUUCAUGCAAACCUCCUUUUGAGGCAGGGCUCCAUUCGGGAUGCCCCUAAGCAUGUGCUUGGGCCCAGAGAGGGGACUGAAGUUUGGGCAGGGAUAUGAAACUUUGAUGGUGGCUCCCUGAGUCCUGACUCCAGGCACCAGUACUGGUGACUCCAGUACACCCCCACAUGAUGUACUGCUGGGUGUUGUCACUCGUUGCCAUCUCACUGCCAGACUGGAGGAGUUUUCCUUUUGGCCACCCACACAGCUCCUUGCACAAGCCAUGUCUGCCAAAGGAACACAUUAGAUAAAUGCUGACCAGAAGGUGACCAAGUAAGCACUCAGAGCGACCCCAGGACCUGGGGAGGGCAGGUCUGGGAGGCCAGGUCUACUACCUGAAGGCUCUUUCAUGAGCCCUGAGCUAGGAAGAGGAGAGACCAGCAUUUGGGAGCACUGUUCACCCCAGCAGGUCAGGGAGAAUGUCUCUGGGGCUGUGGCAGAGCUGGGCACGCGUGUGCCUGUCAUG